AGUGAACGCUGGCGGUAGGCCUAACACAUGCAAGUCGAACGGCAGCACAGUAAGAGCUUGCUCUUACGGGUGGCGAGUGGCGGACGGGUGAGGAAUACAUCGGAAUCUACUUUUUCGUGGGGGAUAACGUAGGGAAACUUACGCUAAUACCGCAUACGACCUACGGGUGAAAGCAUGGGAUCUUCGGACCUUGCGCGAUUGAAUGAGCCGAUGUCGGAUUAGCUAGUUGGCGGGGUAAAGGCCCACCAAGACGACGAUCCGUAGCUGGUCUGAGAGGAUGAUCAGCCACACUGGAACUGAGACACGGUCCAGACUCCUACGGGAGGCAGCAGUGGGGAAUAUUGGACAAUGGGCGCAAGCCUGAUCCAGCCAUACCGCGUGGGUGAAGAAGGCCUUCGGGUUGUAAAGCCCUUUUGUUGGGAAAGAAAAGCAGCAGGUUAAUACCCCGCUGUUCUGACGGUACCCAAAGAAUAAGCACCGGCUAACUUCGUG
rnacentral:rRNA from 1 species